UUAUAAGGGGGACCACUGAUUGAAUGA
rnacentral:piRNA from 1 species